CGGUGGCAGAGAAUCGGCUCAGUAGGCACGUAGCCUUUCUUACGAACGGGUCGAUGAUGAAUUUUUCGUUCAAAAAAUAUCCCUGCGAAAAGUUCUCUCUCGUUUCGGACGAGCGACGAGAUGAGCGUAUACUAUGUUAUCACGCGAGUUCGUUAAAUGUCCCGCAACAGUGACGUUGAUGAGUGAAAUACGUAGACAACUCCGAUCAAGCGAAGAGGACGUCAUCAUCUCGGAUAGACGGUUAUCUGCAAUCAUACAAGAGCAAUUAUUGAUAAUUUUUGGACGAUGACAUUAUUGAUACUCGUAUCGUUGACUCAACCCGCGAUUCGCGAUAUCGAACUUGAUAUCGAUAUCUACGACAGAACGUACAGUAUCGUCAGGAACUUUGGGUGAUUAUUCCAGAUUUUCGCCAACCAAAACACCCUUUUCACGAAAACCGACGCGAACUGGUACACCGAAGUUCCCAGCUUGUAGAAUUUCCGGUUAUCGAUGUGAAACGAGGACCAUAAAAAUUUAGUGACGUCAAUCGCGACUACCAGGAAUUAUUUUUGCGAGUUAGUGUUCUUCUGUGUAUAUUACACUCGGGCAGCGGAAACUUAACCGAUUCGUAAAGCGGUCAGCCAGUUUGGAUUUCCUCGGCGCGAGUAUCGGUUGAUCGCUCAAUAUCCUCUUGAGCCGUACAAGCUGCGUCCUCUUUUGUUUAUUUAGAUUUACCGGUUGUUCAAAGUUUUUUGCUAGAUCUUUACUCGUUGCGUUGAAGUGGAUUUUUCGAGAUAACAUGUGCGGAAAUUUAAAAGAAAAAGUUCAUCGCGCGAACGGAUCGCAUAAAUUAAGUUCAAAGUUCACCAGUGCGAUAUAAUUUUGGAAACGAAGAAUCAGUGCAUCGGAUGUUUAGUGGUGCAGUUGAAUCGCAAUGGAGUACACGACCGCAGUAGUACUCGAUGGGAUUAGGUCAUCGCUAUUUCAGGACACGGCCCCAGCUCGAAUGAAUCGAAUUUAGAAAGGAAGAAAAAACGUCGCCGUGUCACGAAGUUUCGCUCUUAAAAAAGCCUACUGGAUUCGCACUUGUGGUCCGAUACACGCUCACUUUUUCGGUCGCACGUAGGGAUACCCACUGGUGCACUCUCAAAAAGAUCUAAUACCGCGAACUUCGCGUAGGAUAAAAUAGUCGGGGAAUAACGUGUGACGGGUGUGACGCGGCACCCCCCGUUUAAUAACCGGCAGAAGGGACUCUCUGUCACCCUUUGUUUUCGGCCAUCACGGGGUUACGAUGAACUGCCCCAUUGUCGGAGAAGAGGGUACGCAUACCUAUAUAAACGCGGGGAUGAGGACGCGACGUAGGAUGCGGGAGGAUUGGCCGGCGAUCGAUCGAAGAGAGAUUGAUUAUACGACUCGUGAAAUCGGAGUCUCCUUCGCGAGCCGGAAAGCUCGUUGCCUUUUAUCGAUUGGAAAUUCUUUAGCGGCUAUAAAUUGAAAUUAGCGAAUUCCGGAAACAACGGAAUUCUUGGCACUCGACCGAACCUAUUACGGCAUCACUGGGCAGAUAUAAUUGAAGAGGAAUUCCUGCAGCUGUAUCUUCCGAAGUGGUCUACUUCUUCGAGUGGGUGGCGAUCGACGUUCAUCACCUCGACCUUUGUAAAAGUAUUCCACCCGAGACGUUGCAUAUCCCCCCCCCCCCCCGAUGACGCAUACGGGAACGAUAAAAAUAUCCGACAUUCGGCGAUGCCGGUAUCUAUUCCAAGUUGAAAUGUAUACGAAAACUAUCAUCGAGUUAUAAAUCGUUUCUAUUCUUACUUGUACUUAUUUUUCAACAAAAAAAAAAAAUAUCCCGAACCUAGUCCCCGACGCAAUCGUAUCAUGUGCGUGAUCGUAGGUAAGUAUACAGACACGAUAUGUGGGUAACCGCAUCGUGUAUUCCACUCGAACCCACUAACAUUUUCGCUAAAAGAUCCAUGCGCACAAAACGCUGAUUCACGGCACUUGAAUCGUCCGCGGAGGACUUGGCUUGGGAAAAACGAGGCGGUGCGGCAACGAAACAGGUAGGCAUUGUACGGAGCUCUGGCUC